UAAUGACAACAUAAAGAAAACUCUUCACUUCUCUGGAUUUAAUUAUGGUUAAAUACCAGCAUGCAAACCAUGACAUGGUCAAAACAGGUUUUUAAUACCAAAACUUUGAUCAAGGAUUUCCUCUUAUCAUAUACACACACAUUAAAUCCAUAUGAAAAUAUACUGGUUAUCAUUAGAGGAUGUCAGAAAGGCAAUCAUCAAGAAAUCUCACAAUAGAUGUCAGAACUCUGGACAGAAAUUGGGACAAUUAUUCACUUCUGGAGAAAGUAUAACUUAUACAUCCAGUAUGGAGUCUCCUAACCAAAAAUAAAAAAUAAAAAAAAUUAAAAAAAUUACAAAUCGACCUUUUGUGUCUAAGCUAUACCACUCCUGGGCAAAUAUCAAGAGAACACUACAUCAUAACACAGAGAUGCUUGCACAUCCAUGCUUAUUAAUGGCUCUCUAUUUACAAUAGUAACAAAAUGAAUGAAAUAGAUGCCCAUCAACUGACUAACAGAUCAUGGCAAUGAAUUACAUAUACAAACUCAGACAUAAAGAAAAAUGAAAGUUGCAGCAAAGUGGAGGACCUAGAAAAUAUAAUAUUAAAUAAGGUCACAAAAACUCAGAAAAAGACUCCAUGCACUCCCCCAUAAGCUUAUCCUAGCCCAUAAUGUACAGUGUAAACAGCUGUGAGUGUGGGCAUAGUGUAACACGGAGAACAAGGAAGAGUAGUGUAAGGUGAAGAGGAAGGACAGAAUGUAGCAAAGGGCACAUAAGCCAUGAAUAGGGUUAUAAAGAGCAUUAUUUUUUCUAGAUUCAACUUUGCUGGGUUUUUUUAUAAUUUGUGGCUGAUAAGUGUAUAAAAAUGUAAAUACAGCGAAAGUCUAAAACCAUAACCCAAGUUCCUUGGCUUCAGGUUGUCUAUUCUCACUGUGUGGAAGUUCAUUGAGAUUCAUAGGGUUUGGAACUUUCAAGUGCUGGAGUGGUUAUGUUGGUGGAGCUUUGUGAUAUGUUCAUUUGUGAGUCUAUUAUAAUAAACUGGGGUGUGUGUUUGUAUGUUUGUGUGCAUGUGGGUGUGUGUGUGUGUGUGUGUGUGUGUGUGUGUAAGAAUCCCUGAAUGUGUGUGUGUGUGCACGACUGUGUGUAAGAAACCCUGAAUGCAGCAAGUUUUCAGAGGGCUGCUUAGAAAAAUAAAGACAUUUUUCUUUCAUAACUUUGUAUUUUUCUCUUUUAACAGAUAAGAACGAAUGCAUGGCUCUUUGAAGGGCUAUUGAGCCUAGAAACGAGUGAUUUGAUAAGAAAUAUUAAAUACUAGAAAUGACCCACACACACACACACACACACACUUAUUUUUAAUGUAGGGCAACUUGUUGUAACUGUUCCCUGUUCUCAUAUGCAGUACUAUGAGGCUUUAAUGAAAUGAACAAAUACAACAGGAAAGGAAGAUUACUGUAUCUUCUUUUUAUCUGACUCUUUUCACAGCUACAUAACAGUUUAGGUUACACUGACUGUCUUCUUGGCAAAUGUUUGUCCAAGUUUAGACUUGCAUAUUAUUCAUUGACAUGGUUAAAGUUGAUUUUAUAAAAUAGUAUCAUGAAUCAUUUACUCUAGCUAUGGCAGGAAAGCUAUACAAGAUUUUAUCACAUUAUUCAAAAGAGUCUAAAUAUGAAAGCUUGGGAAUCACAUAUUUCUGGAACAUUCUAUUUAAUAUUUUCAGACCAUGGUUGAAGAUCAUGGUUGGUGUGGUGGUUCUAUACCUUCUCCAACCAUGUUACUCUUCAUUCCCCUCACUUCCCUUAGCUGCAGCAGCCUCCUUGAGGCGACUCCUUUGAGUUUUCCUUUCCUUGUUCUCUGCCUUCAAUUGGUCUCCCAGGAGGACAUAAGUGCCCUGCAUCUCUCUAGAGCUUGUUGAACGCCAUCUUCCCAGGGAUGCUGAGCCUGGCUUCCUGUGCACACCACAGCCUGUGCUGAUCCUUCACUGCAUCUUCCUGUUAGACCCAGAGAACAGGAAUUUCCAGUGUGUUUUCUCCCCAGCCCUUCCCACAGUGCCUGGCUCACAGUGGUCAGUAAGUCUAAGUGACAAUGUGGAUGUGGAGAGAAUGCUGCAGAAUCUGGAGAUGAGUCACUCACCUGACAAUGACAAAGCAUCGGACUGUGCAACUAGAGCUACAGGCACCACAACAAUGAUGAUGAUGAUGAUGAUGAUGAUGAUGAUGAUGAUGAUGAUCACUGCAGACCAGCAGAGACACUUAUCAGGAGACACAGAGUUGACGAUUCUGUGAAAUUUUCCUUGGAGCUUUUUACCUGUAAAAUAUGAAUAUAAGAAUGCCCACUUCUUAAGAAAAACAAAAGAAAUUUACAACAAAAACCCGCUUUACAACUGCCCACAAGUACCUGAAAGGACACUGCAAACCCCAUUCAGAGAAGGUCCUGGUCCAUAAAGGAUGCCAUGGUGGAAAGAAGACUAGAGAGGAUGGAAACAGAACCUUGACCAGGGUCUUCCAGUUCCUGAACUAAGGGUGAAUCAUCAAAUCAAGAAACAAAAGGAGUGAGGAGCAGUGAGAAGCAACAACAACAGUCAGCUGGAUUUCUCUCCAUAAAGUGUUCUGGUUAGAAGGAGGAACAGACACAUAAGGGGGGGAAAUCAGUGUAAUUAGACCUAUGAACAAACUGAGAGAAGAGGAAAAAUAGAAAUGUCUCAAUAAACACACCAAAAGUGUGUGAAAAUUAGGAAUCAGAGGAACUUCCUCAACCCUACAAAAGUUAUCCAUUGAAAACAAAACAAUAACUCCAGCUGCAGCUGCUUGAUUCCCAAGGCUGCAGUUGAGAAUUCUUUCCCAGCCAUCAGGAGCAGGAGCAGGAUGUCCGCUCACUACUCCAGGAUGACUUUUCACAGGAGGGCCUCACCAGGGCAAAGAAAUGGGGUCAUGUGGAUAGAGAAUGGAUCAGCAGUUAAGACUAUUUGUCUUCCAUAGGACACAGGUUCAAUUCCUAGCACCUACAAGGUAGCUUUCAACUGUGCACAACUUGAGUUCCAGGAGACACAUCACCCUUUUCUAGCUUCUGUAGGCACCAGGCACAUAUGUGAUGAACAAAUGUGUGGGAAAAACAGCCAUAUACAUAAAAUAAGUGUCUUAAGAGAGAAAGUUUACACUUCUUGAAAACAGAUGAAAGUGUUUCUCUUCACAGAUGACAUGUUCUAUCUGAAUAAAAAUUCUAACAAAUCUACAAAAGACUACUGGAUGUAAAAAAUGAGUUUACAAAGCUGCAGGACACAAUGUCCGCAUGGCAAAGUUAGCUGCAUCUUCCUGUCAAAAGGAAGUUAACAUCUAAUACAGCACCAUUUACAGCAAUGCCAAAAACCAUAAAAUUAUACAUCUAAAAAAGGUUCAUAAUCAGCAUAACAAAAACUACAUGCAAAAUUUUGAAGAAAUCAGGACAGGGCUGGAGAGUUAGCUCAGUGGUUAAGAGCACUUGUUGCUCUUGCAGAGGACCUGGGUUUGAUUCCAGCACCCACAUGACAGCUUACAACCAUCUAUAAUUCCAGUUUCAGAAAUCUGACACUGUUUCCUGACCAUGGUUGGAACUAGGAAUGAAUGUGAUGCUAGAUAUUUAUGCAGGCAAAACACUCAUAUGCAUAAAUUUUUUAAAAUAAAAAAAAGAAAUCAAGGAAGUUCUAAACACAUAAUUGUUGUGGGGCAUUUGUUCCCACUGACACUCCAAGACUAUCAAUAAAGUGUAGCAUUGAAUCAUGGGCAGAGCUAGUGACUAACUGACCAGAAUUAGCCAUGGAUGUUUUGUAGGACCCAAGAUACAUAUAUAGAGAGAGAGACACAGGAAGGGGCUAAGAAAGAUCCCAGGCCAUUUUGUGUUGGGGAAGGCAAGAGACAGGAGGUCAUUGAUUGCUUCUCCACUGCUUCUCUGAUCAAUCAGGUUUUUACCCUAUUACCUAAUUCCCAUGUUUUACUCGAUAAAAGAACAAUAUAAGUAAAUGCUUACAUAAUAAAAUGGAACACUCAAUAUUGCUCAUAUGUCAACAAUUUCUUAGCAAGUUUAUAUGUGCAACAGUUUCACUUCCUGGAGGGUGACUGCCUUCAGAAAAAAAUUUAUAGCACCAGAUUAUAUGAAAGGUACUAUGAGAACUAAAAAGAAACUAGAAGAGUCCUAAACAAUUCUAAAAAAGAAGGGUUGAACUCAGAGAGAUCAUUCUGCCUAAUCGCAUGACCAAUGAAAACAUGAAUAAAUAAAUAGCACCACAGCUUGGUGCUAGCAAAACAGUAGACACUAGAACAAUACAGCAGAAAAAAAAGACUCCAGAAAUUAUAUCAAACACACAUGGUCAACAGAUAUUUAACAGAGAUGUACAGUUGUUAUGGCAGGGAAAUGGUGGCAUCGCUCCAGUAUGUGCUACUGAAACAACCCGGUGUCUGUCUGCUAAAAAAAGACACAAGAUGGACUGUAGACCCAAGCACAAAGCUUAAUAUUGUAAAGUCAUUUAAUUCCUUAAAAAGUAGGGGGAAUGUGUGUGAACUUGUCUUGAGCAAAAAUCAUCUUAGAUUCAAGAGAAAAUUGACUGUGUAACAGGAGGUUGAUGAAUUCGAUGUUGAUGUGACUCUAACGCCUUUCUUUUAGAAAGGCAAAAUUGUGCAGCCACUAUGGAGCUGUUUGUGCAGGAACUGCACAAUAUGGUGAUGUGUCCCCAUCCUGCUCACAUAUCCCCAUACUAAAAGGAAAGACUGCAUUUAAGUUUUUAAAAAAAAAGAAAAAGAAACCUAUAUGUGUAUAUUUGUAGCAGCUUUAAAGGUCACUGUAAAAAAAAAAUGCAACAUUUGCAAUCAUCCAAAUGUCCCGAAGAUGAUGACAAGUUAAACAAACCCUCUCAACAGAAGAAACAAGUUAGACCCCAAGCCUGCACUUCCCUUUUUCUCAUAUAACUUUACCAGGCAUUGUCCCAAGGCUUCUGACUCAAAAGUCCAUAAACUAAACUUAUCAAGUUUAAGCAAGCUUAAAGGCAGUGAGCCACAGGAAACUGUCUCCUUCCUGCUUAUUUGAAAAGAAACCCAAACUGCCAUGACUCGCUUCCUCCUCUCACUUCUCUAUAAGCUUCCUGCCAGCUUUUCUUAACUUCUUUGUGUAACAUUUGAUUAUGUGGUGCUUGUGUACUUCAGAAUUCAGAGCACUGCUCCUGUGCAGGUGGUGCUGUGGACUGUCUCUUAGAUUCUAGCCAGCAGUGUGUCUGACUCACUAUUGAUGGACACUGCACUGUCUGAAGAGCAGAAUGUAAUACUGCGAUGACAUGAAAGAAGUCAAAUGUGAAGUCUCUGCUUCAGGGAUCCAUUUUGUGACAUUCUGGAAAAGAAACCCAUUUCUCUGCAGAACACGGUGUUGCAUGGACUAUGUUGGAGACGUAUUGGAAACCAGUGUAUGUAUUGGCGAUAAGAAUGGAAGAAAAGCAAGUGUGAGAGCCCAGGUGAGGACAGUUAUUGCUGCCCUUGGGAAGCUGUGUGAGGGGUAGGAAUUUGUCUUCUACUAAGUGUGGGCUUGGGGGAGCAGUGGGGUUCUGCCAGCGCCCAUGUCAGAGGAGCUACAGUCAGCAUGGAGCUCAUGGAGUUCAGUUCACCUAACAGCAAAGCUGAACCCUGAAGAGGCAAAGCCCUGGGGCUCUGAGGAGGAGGCAGGGAAGGGAGAGAGAGAUUGUUCCCAGAAUGCCCCUUGCUUCUGCAGUGCUUCCUCCUACCUGCUGCGGCCAUGUGCCUGCUGCAUUUUGCCUGGUGUGAUGCAACCCCACUCCUCACUGGGCAGUUACCUGCAGAUCACAAUGAAGAUGAUUUCCAUAAGAGCAAUGAUGAUGAGAUCAAUGAUUUAAUUGGACUUCUGGGUUAGCCUAAAACACAUGGAUGGUUAAGACAUUAAAGAUGAUUAGGGAAGUGGUUUAGGUUAUUUGGCCAAUUGCUCCAAUAAAAGAUUUAAAAAAAAAACUUUAUUUUAGACUAAAAGUUACCUUCCUCUUCAUUAGAUGUGAGAAUUGAAGAGUAUAGUGUAGCUGGAGUUUCUCUCCGGUUCCCGCCAAGCCCCUGCAGUCCCACAGCUCACUCAUAAAAUAAUCACUCAGAGGCAUAUAUUACUUAUAAACUAUAUGGCCAUGGCAGGCUUCUUGUUAUCUAGUUCUUCUAUCUUAAAUUAACCAAUUUCUAUUAAUCUAUAAGUUGCCACGUGACUUGUGGCUUACUGGUAUCUUAACAUCUUCUUCUUCUCAUGGCAGCUGGCAGUGUAUCUCUGCCUCAGCCUUCCACUUCCCAGAAUUCUCUUCUCUGCUUGUCCUACCUAUACUUCCUGCCUGACUACUGGGCAAUCAGCAUUUUAUUUAUACAGCACGAUAUCCACAGCACAGUUUCUUAGUCAAGUAACUUACAGAAUUAAUCACAGGCCCCAGUAUUCACCUUGAAAAAGCCAAGUUGUGAAAGGAAAUUAAAUGACCCUAUUGUGUGUGAAAAAAGAUAGAUUGUUAGCUGACCUGUCCUUUCUCUGGAGUAAAAACAGGAUAGGAAUCUGUACACUAAAACACAAACAGCUGCCUUCCAGUACAAAAGGAACUGGAUAAAAAACACUUAGCUUGCUUAAACCUUUGUCAACCAGUAAUAAAAGAAUCAAUGCUUUGGGGUGAAGAUGUUAUGGUGGGAAAAUUAAUACAAAGAAAAAUGUUUACUUGUAGACUUGUAAGAAAAACAGGUAACUUGUGAUCAUAAUGUAAUUUCUUCCUAUGUAACAUUUUAAUUUGUUUUUCGAAAAAAUAUGUCACUUAUAAAGUAACCUUUUCUUUCAAAGAGAUUUUUGUCUUAGGGGGCUGGAGAGAUGGCUCAGAGGUUGAGAGCACUGGCUCCUCUUUCAGAGGUCCUGAGUUUAAUUCCUAGCAACCCCAUGGUGCCUCAUAACCAUGUACAAUAGGAUCUGAUGCCCUCUUCUGACAUACAUGCGGGG